AUUGAACGCUGGCGGCAGGCCUAACACAUGCAAGUCGAGCGGAGGUAGCAAUACCUUAGCGGCGGACGGGUGAGGAAUGUAUCGGAACGUGCCGAGUAGUGGGGGAUAACACAGGGAAACUUGUGCUAAUACCGCAUACGCCCUGAGGGGGAAAGUGGGGGACCGCAAGGCCUCACGCUAUUCGAGCGGCCGAUACCCGAUUAGCUAGUUGGUGAGGUAAGAGCUCACCAAGGCGACGAUCGGUAGCUGGUCUUAGAGGACGAUCAGCCACACUGGAACUGAGACACGGUCCAGACUCCUACGGGGGGCAGCAGUGGGGAAUAUUGGACAAUGGGGGCAACCCUGAUCCAGCCAUGCCGCGUGAGUGAAGAAGGCCUUCGGGUUGUAAAACUCUUUGAGCGGGGAGGAAGGUCAUGCGGUUAAUAACCGUGUGAAUUGACGUUACCUGCAGAACAAGCACCGGCUAACUCUGUGCCAGCCGCCGCCGUAA
rnacentral:rRNA from 1 species